UGGUCUGUGAGGAGAGUUUCUCAGACUUUGAUGUGCACAUCACCAGACUGGGGAAUCCUGGCAAGUGCAGUGGAUCUGGAAUGUACCUGAGACUCAGCAUUCCUCAUCAAUUGCCAGGUGGCUGUUCUGUGUGGCUAACAGAGUAAGGUACCUGUCAGGAUAUCCAAGAAGCCUCAGCAACUGCAGCAUGCAAGUCAGAAAGCAAGUUGACUAAAAAAUGUUGGAGACAGAAACUAAUGAGGUCUUUUAUGGAAGAGUUAUACACUGGAGCUCAUGGGAAGGCAGCAUGAACAGGCAACACCCAUUGCCUAAUGGGAAGGCAGCCGGAGCAUGGCACAUCCAUUGCCUGAUGGGAAGGCAGCAUGAACAUGGCACAUCCAUUGCCUGAUGGGAAGGCAGCAUGAACAUGGCACAUCCAUUGCCUGAUGGGAAGGCAGCAUGAACAUGCCACAUCCAUUACCUGAUGGGAAGGCAGCAUGAACAUGCCACAUCCAUUGCAGUCUUGCACAAACCAUUGAGUUAUGAAUUGCAAGCACAAUGGAUUGAAAGCACAAUGGCGGGCAUGUUGCAGAUAUCACACCUAUGCUGCUGGUUAUGUGAUUCACUCUAAUAUAACACUAACAAACAUUU